rnacentral:rRNA from 1 species
CAGCAGCGCGGUAAUACGUAGGUCCCGAGCGUUGUCCGGAUUUAUUGGGCGUAAAGCGAGCGCAGGCGGUUAGAUAAGUCUGAAGUUAAAGGCUGUGGCUUAACCAUAGUACGCUUUGGAAACUGUUUAACUUGAGUGCAAGAGGGGAGAGUGGAAUUCCAUGUGUAGCGGUGAAAUGCGUAGAUAUAUGGAGGAACACCGGUGGCGAAAGCGGCUCUCUGGCUUGUAACUGACGCUGAGGCUCGAAAGCGUGGGGAGCAAACAGGAUUAGAGACCCCAGUAGUCCCUGUCUCUUAUACAC